UACGAAGGGGGCUAGCGUUGUUCGGAAUUACUGGGCGUAAAGCGCACGUAGGCGGAUCUUUCAGUUAGGGGUGAAAUCCCGAGGCUCAACCUCGGAACUGCCUUUGAUACUGGGGAUCUCGAGUCCGGGAGAGGUGAGUGGAACUGCGAGUGUAGAGGUGAAAUUCGUAGAUAUUCGGAGGAACACCAGUGGCGAAGGCGGCUCACUGGCCCGGAACUGACGCUGAGGUGCGAAAGCGUGGGGAGCAAACAGG
rnacentral:rRNA from 1 species